AGUUGUUAAUCCUGCUGAUGCGCGCCGCUGUCGUCGGGAUAUUUGUGAGGGGAAGCACCCUUUUCGAGAGAUUUCAGAGAAGAAGUAUGUUCCCUCGGCUUCUUCUUCGGUUGGUUUAUUUUUGGGCACGCCGCCUCCUGGUCUGAGUGGUGUUUCAGUUGGUGCUCUGCCGCAGGCCUCUGUCCUCGCGUGGUACUUCCAUUUCACAUGGCCAUUGCCGGUCUUCCUAAUUCUGCUGUCUCGCUGACAGCUCCUGCGGCCCCUCUCUUUGCUGGUGCAUUGGCCGCUGUGCUAGAUAUUUCGUCUUUGUGCUCUUCUUGCUUGGUGGAUAUUCAUAUGUACAGAUGCUGGCUUCCCAUCUAUUUUGCAAAGGACAAUUUCUUCUAGUUCUAAUGUGCGCACGAGAGGGGGGCGUCAGGGUUCGUUGUCAGCUAGCUGUCUGAAUCUUCGUGCUUCGGAUUGGUCUGAUGAUCUACAGCACGUACGACGGAGGACAACAGAAUUCUACUGAAUUGUGGCGGCGCCGUCGAGAGAUUGAUGAAGGAAAACGUCCUGUGUUGGGUUCUUCAGAUUGUGCCUGAACUAGCGGGAGCCUCUGAAGCAGCGAGAGAGUAACGGAUGGGGAAACUGGCAGAUCCUUUUGUGUGGACGACAACUCGACGGUGGCAACUCGACCAGGUUUGCCGUGAGAAGGCCAGACUAUGCGAGAGAUUUGGCGCGUGUAGUUUAUUUUGUCGCUAAUUACGGUGGAGUGUGGUUAGAUUAUCAGCUUUGUUAGAUGAAUAGGGCAUGGAAGGAGCGGUGGAUAUGAGCUCCUACGGCAUAACUACUAUGCCUUGAGCAACGUCAGAGGAGCCGACUCCCGCUGAGAAUACAUUUUAUUUUCUUUAGCCGAUUAAUUCCAAUAAUUAAUGAGGGCUGAUGCACCCCGGGAGCAGCUGCCAAGAUGGAAGUUUUAGCAAAUAGGACGCCUUCCAUCGAAGGGAAACUACGACCAACUCCGCUCUCGUUGGCUGGCGAUGCAUGACGAGGCCAAUGGACAACUUGGUGCUACACAAAUGAAUCAAGGAGAACAUGCUAACAGACCAGCAACGUGCUAGGAGGCCAACGGGAGCAUUACCUGGUGUUGACCGGCGGGCAAAUGACAUCAUAUAUGUUUUUGUCCAACCAAGGUAACCCUCCAAACAGUGCCCUAAUAGCCAUCUAUUCCUUAAUGUUUUGGCCUGGAAACAAGUUUAGUUGCAACUCUUUUGCUAUCAAGUUUUCCAAAUUUCGUUCACUAGGGUUCCUUUCUUAUUAUCAUCUUCCAGAUAUAUAUUUUUGUAAUUACAUGAAUUCAGUUCUACUUCUAUCGUGUCUCCUUUUCACAUGUUUGCAUCCAGCUGAAUAUCCAUCUACAUUUUUCACAUGUGUAGUGCAGUCUAAAAAUUAUAAGCUAGGAUGUUAUGCCCUACCAUCUGCAAGAACAAUGGAUUGUGUACUGAACAUAAGUUUUUUUGCAAGUUUGCUCUUAGUUAUGUCUUUGGCGGGGCAUACUUGAUCAUAAAUUUUGUACGAAAGGUAAUAGCUAAAAAUAUGUAUGCAGUUGUUACUUAAAUAUCAGAUUGUUCUAUAUUGUUUAGAUUUAAUUGGAGAAUGCAACUUAAUCAAUUAUGUCAUGUAUUGGCAAUAAGGGGUGCCGGUCAACCUACUAGGAGAUGGCAUAUAUGGGCCUUGAGGACAUGGCACCGUUCAGGAGGGCGGCAUUCCGACAACACUCCAGCAUAGACUCAUCGUGAUACAUGGACAUGGGCUGGUAAACAGAGGUAACAGGGAGCCUGAACAUCGCACAUCAAGAAGGAAGCUGAUGAUGAUGAAUACGACCAUCUUGGCAUGGAUUGCUGCUGCUGCCAUGCCCAUGUCCAGCAACAUGUUGUUGUGCCAGUGCUGCAACCUUCUACUCCAAACACGAUCGCAGGCAAUGUGGUCAUGAACUUUUGGGAUACUUAAUGUUCCCUGUAUUUUUCUAGCAAUGUCUUAGGUAGGACGUAGAUGCAAGGGCUCAUAUAAAUAUCAAUGAAUUGAUAUUAGUUACCAUGAUAAUUUGGUUAUAUAUAUGACCAUAUCCGAAUCAUUUUAGGCUUAUAAUGGCAUUUGUUUUAAUGAUUUAUUUAUAGAGUAUUACAAUGGUGACAA